CUAUCCAAUAUUCACGUAGCAGCCGUAUCUCUAUUUGUUUUAUCUCGUUUAUAGCGCGAUUCCUGUAAUCUGAAGUAUUUCAGACAUUUCCAGGUAUAUACGCGUAUAGUAUAUUUAGCUCGGUCAAUUUACUGGAAGAUAUUCCAACGACCGUAGUUAUGUACAGCGUACUGUGGGGACCUUCUUUGACUGAGCAAUGAAUACGGAGAUACAUGAUGCGCGUCCGUUACUAUCCAACCAAUUACAUCUCGAUAUCUGAGUGAUCUAAAUGAUUGAAUACUAAAGCAUAGUCGAUAAUUUAAAGAAGAAACAGUGGUAAUAAUCCUUAAAUGCGUAUUAGAAUAUAUGGGACGUAUUUGCAUGAUUACAAAUAACCAAUUUGUUGCAAGUAUGAUCGAUGACGUCGUUUCUUUUGCGUGUUCCAGACGCAUUGUUCCACGUUAUUUACGUAAUACACGUGCAUUUAUCUAUUAUUAUAGCUAUCCAUGUCCGUUUUCCGCAAGACUGGCAGAAACGAAUAGCAAUAUCUAUAUUUUCAUUCCAUUGUACAGGCAUUGUAGAAAUCGAUUGCCUGUAGCCUGAAUAGCAUAGCAGUAAUUACGCUUUUCCCUAUUCUCGAUUAUUUGUACAAGAAGAAGCGGCCCAUGACGAAAAGAAAUCAGGGUGCAUACGAAACAGUUUCCAACGUUCCGCUGGCUGCUCGCAUAGAAAUUGUCAUAUAUCUUUUUCGCGAAUCUGUACGACACGCUCUAGUAUCUAUCGAAUACCAUUUGCGAACGAUACCGGGGCACUUAGUAGCGGAGAAAAAAAAUGCCAUUGGGUCCGAUCUCGGAUUUAUAAACGUUUCUCUUUCUGUAGGUUUCUGCGCUCUAAUGUCCUAAAUGAAAAUACCUCUUUUAAAUUGACUAAUUUAUAAAUAGUAUUUCUGUGUUCUUUUCGAGCGUGCUCAAAUGUGGAAAACGCUCGCGUACAUUCAAUGCAUAUGAUACUAUGAGACAAGUUAUUAUCCUUCUACGCGAAUACAAUUGUAAUGAAAAGCUUCGAGUCAACAUAUCCGGUAAAAUUACUAUCUGUCCGAAUCGCAUACAACUGGCAGGAAACGGCGAAAAACGUGCCCUCUAUCGUGCAGAUUUUUGAUUACACGACAUCUAACGGAAAGCCCCGUCCUCAUGCUCGACGAAACUUGAGCGACGAAACCGAAAAGAGGAGGAGAAACCUAUAGCUCGUCUCUCUCCCCUGAGAGAAGUAUAGCAUACCCAAUAGUUGAGUCAGGUCAGUUUGCUAGCCUUACAUAAAAGAGGCUAAGUAACGACGAAGAGAAAGAAGAUAGGAAACGUUAUAAGAUAUACACACAGGAUGAACAGGGCAAACCUGAAGAGAACAGUGCCGCGGGAGAAGAGAGGCAUCGAGGCAAGGAGAGUAAGGGCAACAGGAGAACGGGUGGGGGCACCUGUUACAACCGACCAGACCGUUCUUUCGCUCUCCCUUUCCCUCUUUGUCGUGCACUCAUCCACAUGCCACUUAGGCUGUUACAUUGAAAUUUCUACGGAACGAUCGGAUAUAUACAGCGCUUCUAAAAUGACCGAACAAAUUUUGAAUGUGUAUACUACUAUCGUAAACGUUUCGUCCAUAACGGGACAAGAUGAACUGUUCGUGCUUACUAUAGACAGAGACUACUACUACGCAAAUCGUUUAAACGAUACGUACGUGUUUCGACUUGUCGAUACAUUUAUGUAUAUAGGGUGUUCUAAAACAGAGAAAAGCAUUUGGGAUCUAUCUAAUAGGAUAAUCUGGUUGCUUUUAAUAAAAUUUCUAAAAUUUUAUAAUUAAAAAUAGAAUAAAUAUUAUCAUUUCUGUAUGUGUAAAAUAGGUUGCCGAGCUUUAUUUUUAAAUUCAUAUCGUAUUACUUCACUUCCUUACAUAAGCAGUAUCACCUAACUUGAACGAAAGUUUGAAUGACAAUAUAUAAAUAGCCAAUACCUGAGGGCCUUAACGAUGUUUACCUUGAGGAUGGGAAAAGAUCCCAUGGACACGGAGGGGAAAUACUCCCUUUCGAGUUACGGCUAUCUUUUGUUUGCGACAAAGGUUUGCAACGAUAGCUAGCUAGUUUGCAAGCGUUUAAAAUUGAAAUAAGCAUUCACCGUUAACGGUUAGAAAUGGUUUUCUUUCCUAACAGAAAACUUCUCGCACGUUCUCAAGCUACUUUGAAUUCUGUCACGCGAAACUAGGAUGUAAUUUGAACAUUGGCGACGAUAGCAGCGUAAACGAACAACUUUAA